rnacentral:rRNA from 1 species
UUUAAAGAAAGCGUAAUAGCUCACUGGUCGAGUCGGCCCGCGCGGAAGAUGUAACGGGGCUAAACCAUGCACCGAAGCUGCGGCAGCGAACGUAUCACUUAAAUUUGUUUGAGUGAAUAACGAUUGACGGAACGAAGUGACGUCAAUGCGUUAAUGAAAGUCGAGGCGAAAGCACGACAAAGCGAAUUUAAGGAUACGUUCGUUGGGUAGGGGAGCGUUCUGUAAGCCUGCGAAGGUGUACUGUGAGGUAUGCUGGAGGUAUCAGAAGUGCGAAUGCUGACAUAAGUAAC